rnacentral:tRNA from 1 species
AAGGCUUUAACUUAAUUAAAGUAUUUGAUUUGCAUUCAAAAGAUGAGGGUUAGUUACCUUCAGGUCUUA